CCAUGGUGUUUUGCAUCUUCUGCAAAAUGUACAAGACAGUGGACGUUGUAGGACAGAAAUUUGGGGCCAUAUAGCUGUCCAAAGUGUGUGACAAAAAGUUGCAGAAUAUCAUUGGCAUAGUUGAUGUGAUCACCAAUUAGGCUGUUAUUGCACAAGAUUCCCACAAAAAACAGCAGGAAGUUUUUGUACACCUCCGUGCUGAGUAGGUCUUUCAGCAUAACAGGGCCUGUGCACAAUAAAAACUGUCUAAACCCGGAUUUUUUUGGCACCAACCAACCUUUCUGUCAGCACAGUGGCUUGAAAUCCUGACAGCCUGCAAGUUAGAGCACCCAGUCGAAGCCACAAGUGGAGAAGCCGCCUCAUGACACCAAGGCACACAAGGUGCAUGUAAUCAAGGGGGAAUCCAGAGACCAUAUCCAAGGAUGUUUCUUCUAGAGGUGCACACCAUCCUGAAUGCACUUUUCGCAUCCAUGGUAGCCUGCGUGGCCCUUCACUUUUUUCAGAAAUGCACGUGCAGGUGCGUCGCAAAUCAUUGAGG
ensembl:lncRNA